GUUGUUAAGGAACUCGGCAAAAUGACCCCGUAACUUAGGGAUAAGGGGUGCCACCAUCAGGUGGCCGCAGAGAAUAGGCCCAAGCGACUGUUUACCAAAAACAUAGGUUUCUGCUAAGUCGCAAGACGAUGUAUAGGAGCUGACGCCUGCCCGGUGCUGGAAGGUUAAGGGGAUCUGUUAGAGCAAUCGAAGCAGUGAACUUAAGCCCCAGUAAACGGCGGCCGUAACUAUAACGGUCCUAAGGUAGCGAAAUUCCUUGUCGGGUAAGUUCCGACCCGCACGAAAGGCGUAACGAUUUGGGCACUGUCUCAACAACAGACUCGGUGAAAUUGUAAUUCCGGUGAAGAUGCCGGAUACCUGCGACAGGACGGAAAGACCCCAUGGAGCUUUACUGUAGCUUGACAUUGGGUCUUGGUACUACAUGUACAGGAUAGGUGGGAGGCUUUGAAACCAGGACGCCAGUUUUGGCGGAGCCAUCCUUGGGAUACCACCCUUGUAGUACUGGGACUCUAACCAUAGGCCAUGAAUCUGGUCUUGGGACACUGUCAGGUGGGCAGUUUGACUGGGGCGGUCGCCUCCCAAAAGGUAACGGAGGCGCUCAAAGGUUCUCUCAGUACGGUCGGAAAUCGUACGUAGAGUGUAAAGGCAAAAGAGAGCUUGAUUGCAAGACAUACAGGUCGAGCAAGGAUGAAAAUCGGACUUAGUGAUCCGGUGGUUCUGCGUGGAAGGGCCAUCGCUCAACGGAUAAAAGCUACCCUGGGGAUAACAGGCUUAUCUCCCCCAAGAGUCCACAUCGACGGGGAGGUUUGGCACCUCGAUGUCGGCUCAUCACAUCCUGGGGCUGUAGUAGGUCCCAAGGGUUGGGCUGUUCGCCCAUUAAAGUGGUACGCGAGCUGGGUUCAGAACGUCGUGAGACAGUUCGGUCCCUAUCCGUCGCAGGCGUAGGAAAUUUGAGAAGACCUGUCCUUAGUACGAGAGGACCGGGAUGGACGUACCUCUGGUGUACCAGUUGUCCUGCCAAGGGCAUGGCUGGGUAGCUAUGUACGGAAUGGAUAAGCGCUGAAAGCAUCUAAGCGCGAAGCCAACUUCAAGAUAAGAUUUCCCACCGCAAGGGUAAGACCCCAGAAAGACUAUCUGGUUGAUAGGUCGAAGGUGUAAGUGCAGCAAUGUAUUUAGCUUAUCGAUACUAAUAGGUCGAGGACUUGACCAA
rnacentral:rRNA from 1 species